UUACGGCCAUAUCAUGUUGAAUCAACGGUUCCCUUAUGAUCAACGAAGUAAAGCAAUAUCGAGCCUGGUCAGUACCUACAAGGGUGAUCGCCUGGAAGUACCAGAUACUGCAGU